rnacentral:sRNA from 1 species
GUGAAUGAAAUCACAAAACUUAAUACCCCUUUGUUUGACCGUGAAAAAUUUCUCCCAUCCCCUUUGUUGUCUUGACAAUAAACGACAAAAUGGGUUUCAGAUGAAUAUCUGAAACCCAUUU